rnacentral:rRNA from 1 species
UACGUAGGGUGCGAGCGUUGUCCGGAAUUAUUGGGCGUAAAGAGCUCGUAGGCGGUCUGUCGCGUCUGCUGUGAAAACUCGGGGCUUAACCCCGGGCCUGCAGUGGGUACGGGCAGACUAGAGUGCGGUAGGGGAGACUGGAAUUCCUGGUGUAGCGGUGAAAUGCGCAGAUAUCAGGAGGAACACCGGUGGCGAAGGCGGGUCUCUGGGCCGUAACUGACGCUGGAGGAGCGAAAGCCGUGGGGAGCGAACAGG